AGUGGUAUCACACAUGGUAGGACACACUGAGGAAAUCUUCAUAUUUGCCUGCAAAACUUGUCAUUGGGACAGUCUGUUUGGAAUAAUUACUCCUUGUUAUUAUGCAAAUGUUUUUAUCAAGGACAGUUCCUUUAAAGCUUUGUUAUUUUAAAUUGUCAGCUGACAUUUUGGGUAAGACAAAUUUUCAUUCUUGUCUCCAGAACUAAGGUAAAUUGUGAAGCAAAAGAGUCUCAUAAUUGUACCAGAAGGAGUCCUGAUAUUCCAAAACUUGUAACAGUGUAUUUGCUGAUUGCUUAGCAAAAUAAAUGCCUGAACUGUGCUCCUGUCUCUUUCCCAGAACUGGGCAUAUACAUGUCUCCUGCAACACCAUGACUUAUAAUGGAAUUCUGUGAAGGAUUGACCUGAAGUUUUAUUCUUGAGUAGUGAAGACAAACUGUUGAGAGUUUCAAGAUUGGGAGUUUCAAGAUUUACUUCUAAUACCUAACAUGCCUGAAGCUUCUCUGCAUAUGUCAUGUGCUGCUGGCAGAGCUGAGAGCUGGGGGAAGAGUGAUUUUACAGCACAGUGACAUUAUCCCAGACAUUCUCCAUUCUCCUGGAACUGUGUGUUAGGAAAAAUAGGUGGGCGACACUGCAGUGCAGUUUCCCUUCCUUGCUGAGGAUUAUGCUGGCCUGUUCGAAACAUUGGAACUGGAUGAUGCUUCAGUCAUGCCAUGGUGUGAGAACACUCACUGUACUCAGACCAAAUCAUCCUGCCCUGAGCUGCCCUUUUCUCACUGUGAUUACCAGGAGGUUAGCCCAACUGAACUGGAGUUAUACAAUCUCCAAAGCUAUUGAAAUGACCUCAGUAACCUCAAAGAGAAGAUGAUUUUAGGUGGAUCACCUAAGUGGAGUAAGAGUGAUUUUCUUGCUUUUAAUGAAGUAAAAUCAUACUGCUCAGAGUGACUCACUAACACCAUUUUUCAAUUGUUACUUCAUGGAUUCAGGUUUUAGGUGAUUACUUUGCUCUAUCAUAAGGCACACAAUGCAGUGUCAUAUGAACAGACUUAACGGGCUGCACAGUGUUUAUUGAAAAAAACUGUGCACUAAAAGGAGUGAAAAGAAAGAUACUACAGUACUAUGAUUGAUAUUAUAAUACUGAUUAGUAUUAUAUACUAUUAAGAUCAAAGAGAGAAAAUCAGUAAUAAAGAUGGGAAAUACCUGAUAUGUUACCUAAUAUUGUCUUUCUGUUUCAGUGACUACAAAAUUAGUCUCUGCUGUCACGAAAGCAGAAGCACCUUAGUUAAGAAUUUGAGAUGAUGCAAAAAGGAAACAAUUCAGUUAUUUUCACUGGUCGCUUGGUGAGAAACCCAUGCAACUGACAAGAGUUGUUCUUUUAAAAUGCCAUGUUCUGGGAAAUGUAAUGGAACUUUGCCUAUGGAAUCAGUCUGAGCUACGAGAAGUACAGCAGAAUCCAAAAACUGGGAGGGAGAACUGAACAGGAAGAGUAAGGUCUAGAAGAAGCUAGUAUUCCUGAAAAUUACGUGAGCAGUUCUACCAAAUGCCAAGUAGUCAUGUCUAAGAUUUUUGUGACGGUACAAAAAGAUCCAAUCAAGAGGUAGAAAAUAUUUUUUAAACAGUUAACAAUUUGUGUAUUGUUGGACAAUGACAAGAGUCAUUGGGUUUUAAGCAAGAUUAAAUUAUUUUGUACACAAAACAGUAAAACUCAUUUAAAAAUCAACUGUACAAAAGAUUAUGAAACAGAUAUUCAACCACAAUGAAAAAUUUAUGACUGAAAAUGAGGGGAGCACUAGACAGUUUCCAUUUGUAUCAGUUCUUUGCUUGCCACAGAAGCUGACUAGAAAAUAGCUCUCACAGAUUUUAGGUCCAGUUCAGCAUAGCAAACUGUCUUUAAAAUAACAACACAAACCCCCAAAUCCUUCCUCUUCAGAAUUCAGCACAUUAUACUCUAUAAAUUUUGAUUUAGGUACAUUUCAGCAUAUGUCCUUAUUUUGUUCAGUGAACAGUCACAAACAGAUGGUGUUUCCAGCUUAUAGAGAUGAGGAAUUUCAUUAGGGCUGUGGGAUAAGAUACUAGGUACCUAAACUAAAUAUUUAUGUAAGAUUGUUUCCUCACAGAGCUUCAGAAAACAGUUUUCUUUUUAAUUAUAGAAGUAACUGAACCAUAGCAAAUAUAAGUUUUGCGCUCUAGCAAGAAUACUGUAAGUACUGUUAAUGUCUUAAUUUAUUCCUGUAGUGUGAUACAAGACUCCAAUUUAGGAAUUCUGCUACUCCUUUAUAAUAACUAUUGCUUUUCAAUAAAUUAAUCUAUUUGUUUCUGCUUUACAAUUGUGUUAAUGACUAUUUUCUUUCAUAUUAGCGAAACAGACAAGUGAAUGUCGGUUAUUUACUAUAUAUCAUUUCCCAGAUACCUUAUCUACAGCAGUUAAGUGCUUGUUGUGACUGGAAUGUAAUCUCAGUGGUUUUGGUUCUGUUACCUCCAUGGAGCUUUCACUUCUUAAUGGCUACAGAGACUAAUCUUGAGUCAAGAGCCAAACAUUUUUCCCUCUGCAAUAGUGCAAUGAUGUUUAGAUUUGUGGCUUUUAAUGUCAGAAGGAAAUUAUAGCUCAUGCAUGCCUUUCCAAGCAGAAUAGCUCAUGUAGAGGACAUUAGAAUAACUUAAAGGAA